UCCCCAGUAGCUCAUCGAUGGUAGAGCGCCGGACUGUUAAUCCGGAGCGGGUAGGUUCAAGCCCUACCUGGGGAGCCA
rnacentral:tRNA from 1 species